CAUGAAUUCCCAGUGUAAUACUGGUGGCAAAAGCCACCUUUCAUUACCCAGGACAUUUGCCAAAGUCAGUGUCAAUGGUAUUUACAGAAAUGGGGAUGUGUGAAAUGACUGGCCAGAAAAGCUGGAUGGUGGCCACAGAUGAAAUUUAAACACCCUGGUAAAAAGAAGGAACAAAUCUUGGAAGGAACAAAGUGCUAGAGAAUGGAUUCACAGCCUAAUACAAACUAGCACAAAGACCCAGAGGUCCACAGAGUGGACUCCAGAGGCCGCCACAGAUAAAUGCAACAAUUGAAGAGAGCAGUGGACACAAUAGACUGCAGUGGCUGGUGAGUUUUUCGGGUUCAGAUGCCACCCAGCAGAGCACGAUUGGCCAGUAGGACUCAGAGCAACUGUGGACUGGCCCCAUCUAGAAGCUCCCAAUGUCAGGGAGAGACUGCUGAGUUAAAUCAGCAGGAUGCCAAGGAGCUGAGUUCCAGCUGGCAGGAGGCACAUUGAGUAUCUACAACAAAUUGUGUCCCAGACUCACAGCCAGAAAUGAGCCUGAACUUCAGUGGAACUAAAGGUUAAGGCUUGCUGGGAUUAUCCAAUACUCUGCUGUAAAUUUAUGGCUGACUUGUUGGGAUUAAUCAACAUGGAUCUGGACUCUGUCCAUCCACUUUGUAUACCAAUGACAGCAGAGAC